UCUGUGUGUUUGGGAUGCAAGUUAUUUGAUUUUUAAUUUUCUGGGACUUUUCAUUCGAAAUUGGAAACAGCAUGCUAAAUAUUUACACAUCGAUGUCUCCCCAUCUCAUUUGCAUAUAACAGCUGGAUUAAUGCAAAUGCUCUUUGAUUAAAACUCUAAUAUUUGCCUUAUAACUAUCAUCACUUAUUCAUUGCUGACCUAGGGCUAAUAUUUGCAUUACACUGCUGCAGGCGGCUUAAAUUAUUUAGCAUGCAAAACUGAAAAAUGGAAUUAAAUCAACGUUGAAGAUGUCGAGCAGAAAAACACGAAAUUUAAAGAAAAAUCAGAGGGGUGAGGGCUUGUUAUAAAUAUUCAUAAGCGAAAACAGAGUACACACAUUUACCUUAAAGAGGCACAGAGCUGGUCUAAAUACUAGUUUGUACAUCAUGCAGAAUUGAAAAUACGGAUUGAAAUUAAUGCAUUGGACCGGAAAGAAGGAGUGGAGUCUCGGCUCGCCGAACCUGGCCAAACCCUUGCAAAUUCAACACGGAUUAGGUUUGACAGUCUUAAGUGGCAGAUUCCAAACGGACUUAACAGUUUCCUUUGCAAGAGUCGAAAAGGAAAAGGUGGGGAUGCGAGAUUUCGGAGCAGAAGUAGGCUUUGGGGAUCAAGAGACAGAGGAGAGAGCAAAAGAUACACAGGUACGAGUAUACGAGUAUAAACAUUUUGGGGACACAGUCGAACUUCCAACGGAGUUAAAAGUAGAUAAAAACGGGGUCCACAUAAAACUCAGACGCAUCUAGGGCAUUCUACAGUCGGCUCUCUAUAUAGCAAACCAAGUUCAUCAAUCACAAAUGGCGUUACAUUUGUCAAGUUGCCGCUCGUCAAAUUCGAAUGCUCAUUGUGGGUGGGCGGAGUUGCAGAUGUUGCCGCCGGAACUGUGGAGCUGGAACCGGUGGUGGAGCUGGCUGCAGUGGUGGUCACUGGUGGAGCACCCAUUGUAUGAUAGCCACGAUGAUAGCUGGAACGGGUAUUGUGCCCCAGGGCACCUAGAAAUCCGGGCGCCGUUAUGGAGCCGGCAAUAACCUGGCAUUUUGGCAAUUUUCAAGAACAUUUAACGGGCGAUUUAUGCGAUUAAUGCGAUUAAUGCGAUUUAUAUGACAAAGAUGGUUAGUGAAGGCAAUAAAGUGAUAGAUUUGAGUUCGAAAUGUGGCGGACAAAUGACAGAAUGACAGAAAGAAAGAAAGAAGAGUAUAAUACGAGACAGUCAAUUUGAGCGUCAUUUGUUCGGUGAUUUUGAUUAAAUUCUAGUUAGUCAACUACUUAAUGUAAAGUGGAUUGAAUGGAGCACCAAUCGACAAAACUACUCGUACGUAAAAAUGAUUUGCUUGCACCACUACUGAGGAACGCAGGCCAAAAACUUGCUUUGCUUGCUAUUAAGUAAAUGUAUGUACUCCGCAUCGUUAGGUAUGUAUAUAUUUAAAGUUAAAGCUGCAAUUGAAAUCGUCGAAAGGACACACUCGCUUUCACUGUGUGUGAGUGUGUCGGUUUGUGUUAAUGAGGCUGACAUACGCACAUACACUCAAAUCGGGGGAUUAGUUUAUUUACAGAAAGUCGACAGGACAUAUGUGUAGCAUACAGCGGUAUA
rnacentral:misc_RNA from 1 species